AGAGUUUGAUCCUGGCUCAGGAUGAACGCUGGCGGUAUGCUUAACACAUGCAAGUCGAACGGUCUCUUCGGAGAUAGUGGCGGACGGGUGAGUAACGCGUGAGAAUCUGGCUUCAGGUCGGGGACAACCACGGGAAACUGUGGCUAAUACCGGAUAUGCCGAGAGGUGAAAGGCUUGCUGCCUGAAGAUGAGCUCGCGUCUGAUUAGCUAGUAGGUGUGGUAAAAGCGCACCUAGGCGACGAUCAGUAGCUGGUCUGAGAGGAUGAUCAGCCACACUGGGACUGAGACACGGCCCAGACUCCUACGGGAGGCAGCAGUGGGGAAUUUUCCGCAAUGGGCGAAAGCCUGACGGAGCAAUACCGCGUGAGGGAGGAAGGCUCUUGGGUUGUAAACCUCUUUUCUCAGGGAAGAAAAAAAUGACGGUACUUGAGGAAUAAGCAUCGGCUAACUCCGUGCCAGCAGCCGCGGUAAUACGGAGGAUGCAAGCGUUAUCCGGAAUGAUUGGGCGUAAAGGGUCCGCAGGUGGCUAUGUAAGUCUGCUGUUAAAGAACCUAGCUUAACUAGGUAAAAGCAGUGGAAACUACAAGGCUGGAGUGCGUUCGGGGUAGAGGGAAUUCCUGGUGUAGCGGUGAAAUGCGUAGAUAUCAGGAAGAACACCAGUGGCGAAGGCGCUCUACUAGGCCGCAACUGACACUGAGGGACGAAAGCUAGGGGAGCGAAUGGGAUUAGAUACCCCAGUAGUCCUAGCCGUAAACGAUGGAUACUAGGCGUGGCUUGUAUCGACCCAAGCCGUGCCGGAGCUAACGCGUUAAGUAUCCCGCCUGGGGAGUACGCACGCAAGUGUGAAACUCAAAGGAAUUGACGGGGGCCCGCACAAGCGGUGGAGUAUGUGGUUUAAUUCGAUGCAACGCGAAGAACCUUACCAAGACUUGACAUGUCGCGAAUCUCUCUGAAAGGAGAGAGUGCCUUCGGGAGCGCGAACACAGGUGGUGCAUGGCUGUCGUCAGCUCGUGUCGUGAGAUGUUGGGUUAAGUCCCGCAACGAGCGCAACCCUCGUUUUUAGUUGCCAGCAUUAAGUUGGGCACUCUAGAGAGACUGCCGGUGACAAACCGGAGGAAGGUGGGGAUGACGUCAAGUCAGCAUGCCCCUUACGUCUUGGGCUACACACGUACUACAAUGCUACGGACAAAGGGCAGCUACACAGCAAUGUGAUGCAAAUCUCACAAAACCGUAGCUCAGUUCAGAUCGCAGGCUGCAACUCGCCUGCGUGAAGUCGGAAUCGCUAGUAAUUGCAGGUCAGCAUACUGCAGUGAAUUCGUUCCCGGGCCUUGUACACACCGCCCGUCACACCAUGGAAGCUGGUCACGCCCGAAGUCGUUACCCCAACUGUUCGCAGAGGGGGAUGCCGAAGGCAGGACUGGUGACUGGGGUGAAGUCGUAACAAGGUAGCCGUACCGGAAGGUGUGGCUGGAUCACCUCCUU
rnacentral:rRNA from 1 species